CUACGGGGCGCUCCAGUAGGGAAUAUUGUGCAAUGGGCGAAAGCCUGACGCAGCGACGCCGCGUGAGUGAAGAAGGCCCUCGGGUUGUAAAGCUCUGUCAGGGGGGACGAAGGGCAACUGACGGUACCCCCAGAGGAAGCCCCGGCCAACUACGUGCCAGCAGCCGCGGUAAGACGUAGGGGGCAAGCGUUGUCCGGAAUCAUUGGGCGUAAAGAGCACGUAGGCGGCCUGUCAAGUCGGAUGUGAAAACCCGCGGCUCAACCGCGGGACUGCAUUCGAAACUGGCAGGCUUGAGUCCAGUAGAGGAAAGUGGAAUUACCGGUGUAGUGGUGAAAUGCGCAGAUAUCGGGAAGAACACCGGUGGCGAAGGCGGCUUUCUGGGCUGAGACUGACGCUGAGGUGCGAAAGCUAGGGGAGCGAACAGGAUUAGAUACCCGAGUAGUC
rnacentral:rRNA from 1 species